UACGUAGGGGGCAAGCGUUGUCCGGAUUUAUUGGGCGUAAAGAGCGUGUAGGCGGUCUGGUAGGUCCGUUGUGAAAACUCGAGGCUCAACCUCGAGACGCCGAUGGAAACCAUCAGACUAGAGUCCGGAAGAGGAGAGUGGAAUUCCUGGUGUAGCGGUGAAAUGCGCAGAUAUCAGGAAGAACACCCGUGGCUAAGGCGGCUCUCUAGUACGGUACUGACGCUGAG
rnacentral:rRNA from 1 species